GACGAACGCUGGCGGCGUGCUUAACACAUGCAAGUCGAACGGAAAGGCCCUGCUUUUGUGGGGUGCUCGAGUGGCGAACGGGUGAGUAACACGUGAGUAACCUGCCCUUGACUUUGGGAUAACUUCAGGAAACUGGGGCUAAUACCGGAUAGGAGCUCCUGCUGCAUGGUGGGGGUUGGAAAGUUUCGGUGGUUGGGGAUGGACUCGCGGCUUAUCAGCUUGUUGGUGGGGUAGUGGCUUACCAAGGCUUUGACGGGUAGCCGGCCUGAGAGGGUGACCGGCCACAUUGGGACUGAGAUACGGCCCAGACUCCUACGGGAGGCAGCAGUGGGGAAUAUUGCACAAUGGGCGGAAGCCUGAUGCAGCAACGCCGCGUGCGGGAUGACGGCCUUCGGGUUGUAAACCGCUUUCGCCUGUGACGAAGCGUGAGUGACGGUAAUGGGUAAAGAAGCACCGGCUAACUACGU
rnacentral:rRNA from 1 species